UACAUGGGGUGCAAACGUUGCUCGGAAUUAUUGGGCGUAAAGCGCACGUAGGCGGUUUGUUAAGUCGGAUGUGAAAUCCCUCGGCUCAACUGAGGAAGUGCAUCCGAAACUGGCAGGCUUGAGUACUAAAGAGGGUCGCGGAAUUCCCGGUGUAGAGGUGAAAUUCGUAGAUAUCGGGAGGAACACCGGUGGCGAAGGCGGCGCUCUGGACCGAGACUGACGCUGAGGCGCGAAAGCGUGGGGAGCAAACAGG
rnacentral:rRNA from 1 species